rnacentral:rRNA from 1 species
UACGUAGGGUGCGAGCGUUGUCCGGAAUUAUUGGGCGUAAAGAGCUUGUAGGCGGUUUGUCGCGUCUGCUGUGAAAAUCCGGGGCUCAACCCCGGACUUGCAGUGGGUACGGGCGGACUUGAGUACUGCAGGGGAGACUGGAAUUCCUGGUGUAGCGGUGAAAUGCGCAGAUAUCAGGAGGAACACCGGUGGCGAAGGCGGGUCUCUGGGCAGUAACUGACGCUGGAGGAGCGAAAGCGUGGGAGCGAACAGG